ACUCAUCUCUUUCAUGAUACAAGCACUACCAUCGUUUAAUUUAUCUUUCGUACUUCUUCUCCACUAUAUUCAUCAAAAACAACAUGCUGUCAAAUGCCAUUAACAUAAGGACUUUACCAUCCAAUUUAUUUUUUUACCAGGCUUAUUUGUUCUGUUAUGCUUUUCUACAAAUGUAGUUGGAUCAAAACAUGAAAAGAAAAAUAUCUUACCAUAAAUGUUAUAAGUUGUAACUUGAUAAUAUGCAUGCGAAUCAGUAAUUGAGCCAACAUGACUUAAGAAUGAUGCAUAUUUAUGGCUGUAAUGAUAAUAUUAUUAUUUAAUGGAAUCAUCUUAAUGAAAAAAAUGUUGCAAAUUUGAAUGAGUAUACAUAACAAAUUGAAUAAAAGUGUGCAAUAAAAGAGUGUUCGCAGUACAUUCCUGGUUGCAUAUGCCCCCACCAUUUGUUUUCUUAAUUCUUCAUGUUUUCCUUUUUAACUAAUUUUCAGGACAUCACUAAAUCAUCAUACAUUUGAUACCUCACUGUAUAUUAUAUUAUACUAAAUUAAAACAAAAGUAACAACAAAUAAGAUACUUACUAUUGUUUUGGCCCAUAGUUAUUACUUACUAUUGUUUCUCUACUUGCCAUUCCC
rnacentral:lncRNA from 1 species